GACACUUGUAUGGAAAGGGCAAUUAAUAUGGUAGGAUUUGAAGUCAGGCAAGAAAGAAGAGGAAAGCCCACAACUUUACCGCUAAGUCACGCUGACUCUCAGGGUAACGCAGCCAAAACUCGGUGCUCAACUGUGCUUUCUGGGAACUGGGCCAGCUCCGUGUCACCCUUUCACAACACCAGAACGGCUGCAGAGUCCCAUGGAAUUGCAGAAUGCAGUUUGGCUUGUACAUUUACAUUACGAGCUGGUUUUCGACUACGUGAUGACCCGACGUGUCUCUCCUGGCCCCCGUCUCCAUGCUCCCUGAAGCAGGUAUGCAGAGGCACAUCGCUGCAGCUGCAGCAUCUCUCGCCUUCCUCCUCGCACCUCUGCUUAUGCUUCCUGGCACGCUGCCUGCCUCUGGCUUCUGCAUCGCCUUUGGCAUUGGCAUCGUCUGCCCUCAGCUGUGGGAUCAACAGAGCCGUUUCAGCACGGGGCAGCCCGUACCCGUGUUGCRGAGCACAUCAAUUCAAUGCCACUUCACAGGCCUUUUUGAGAAAAAGCUGGAGGAGCAAAUGGGUACUAAGCAGCAAUAUUUACACCCGUGGAGAGGUCACAGCCUUCAGCAACACCUCUCAUUGCUACAGCUCCUGAGAAGCAGUUUUGGAUGCAAAAUCUAUUUCCUAAAAGUUAAUCUUUGCUUGCCAAUAAAUUUCUCUCCCUUCUUCUCCA
rnacentral:lncRNA from 1 species